CAUAACCUGAGUCUCCAUGUGACAGAAAAGCCUAUGGCCCAAACUGGUUGGGCUGGACUCUACCAUGUGAUCUUACCUCAGCUGUCCAGAGUGCUAGGAUGACAGCCUAAUUCAAGGAGCCAGAGAAGCUCGGUGUUGCUGCUGUCUUCAAAGACAACCUAGGGCUCCCACUGCCCUCAGCUUGGUCCACUGGCUCCAUGAAGGAGGGUCCAAACCAAAUCACCAUGGGCUCCCAAACCCUCAGUGAGAGAAUAGACCACCACCUCUGUGACUAGUUGAUUUUGUCAACAUUUGUUUAAGGCACAAGGUCUCAGAUGAACAGGAGUAAGGAGAGAGUCUCAUCUAGCUUACUCCCCUCUCCCUUGAUCCCAUGUCUGAUGAGGCUAGAGCUCAAGACUAGACUUCUGGAACUCAAGACAUCCAUAAAGGAGAUUAAGGAGUCUCCAGGGCUUUUCCAGCCAACCGAGUAACACCAUCCUUCUUCAGCGAUUUUAAUGUCUGUCUUCAGAUUUUGCACUCCUCAUUCUCCUCUAGCCAAACCACCAGACAAGAUAAGUCCACAGAAACAGCAGUCUCCUUUGCACUCGUUUCUGAUGCGUUGUGAGGAUGAAGUGAUUAGUCACUAUCGGAAAUAGCCAGAGUAAAUCAAAUUCACAUCCGGUCAUGAAGAAUUACUUCUUCCGGAUUAGGGUUGUAAAGCAGUACUGGGUAAUGAAGCCAAACAAAUCCUCCUAUGAAAUUAAAUAAAAAUCUUGACCAGCCCUGCUUAUAUCCUAGCUCUGACACUCUCUAAAUAUGCAAUUGCGGACGAGUCCCUUUUCU